UACGUAGGUGGCGAACGUUAUCCGGAGUGACUGGGUGUAAAGGGUCCGUAGGCGGGCCGUUAAGUCUGACGUGAAAGCGCCCGGCUCAACUGGGCGAGUGCGUUGGAAACUGAUGGUCUUGACUCACGCAGAGGUCGGCGGAAUUCCCGGUGUAGUGGUGGAAUGCGUAGAGAUCGGGAGGAACCUCGAAAGCGAAGGCAGCCGACUGGGGGAUGAGUGACGCUGAGGGACGAAAGCGUGGGGAGCGAACAGG
rnacentral:rRNA from 1 species